rnacentral:tRNA from 1 species
GCCCGGGUGGCGGAAUUGGUAGACGCAAGGGACUUAAAAUCCCUCGGCUUUUGCUGUGCGGGUUCGAGUCCCGCCCCGGGCACCA